rnacentral:rRNA from 1 species
GUGCCUAACACAUGCAAGUCGAGCGGUAACAGGUGUAGCAAUACAUGCUGACGAGCGGCGAACGGGUGAGUAAUGCUUCGGAAUCUACCCUAUGGUGGGGAAUAACCAGCCGAAAGGUUGGCUAAUACCGCAUACGUCCUACGGGAGAAAGCAGGGGAUCGUAAGACCUUGCGCCGAUGGAUGAGCCGAAGUCGGAUUAGCUAGUUGGUGAGGUAACGGCUCACCAAGGCGACGAUCCGUAGCUGGUCUGAGAGGACGACCAGCCACACUGGGACUGAGACACGGCCCAG